GAUGAACGCUGGCGGCGUGCUUAACACAUGCAAGUCGAACGGAAAGGCCCAAGCUUGCUUGGGUACUCGAGUGGCGAACGGGUGAGUAACACGUGGGUGAUCUGCCCUGCACUUCGGGAUAAGCCUGGGAAACUGGGUCUAAUACCGGAUAGGACGAUGUUUUGGAUGCCAUUGUGGAAAGUUUUUUCGGUGUGGGAUGAGCUCGCGGCCUAUCAGCGUGUUGGUGGGGUAAUGGCCUACCAAGGCGUCGACGGGUAGCCGGCCUGAGAGGGUGUACGGCGACAUUGGGACUGAGAUACGGCGCAGACUCCUACGGGGGGCAGAAGUGGGGAAUAUUGCACAAUGGGCGCAAGCCUGAUGCAGCGACGCCGCGUGGGGGAUGACGGCCUUCGGGUUGUAAACUCCUUUCGCUAGGGACGAAGCGUUUUUGUGACGGUACCUGGAGAAGAAGCACCGGCUAACUACGUG
rnacentral:rRNA from 1 species